CGUGUGGUACUUUGUUGAGUGAAAUGAUUCUCUCAAACAAAGCAGCGAUGCGGCCCAAUAGAGGU
rnacentral:ncRNA from 1 species